rnacentral:rRNA from 1 species
AUUGAACGCUGGCGGCAGGCCUAACACAUGCAAGCCGAACGAGUGGCGGACGGGAGAGUAAUGUCGGGGAAACUGCCUGAUGGAGGGGGAUAACUAGUGGAAACGGUAGCUAAUACAGAAUACCAUCCGAUGUGCCAAGAUGGGAUUAUCGUGUUGGUGGGGUAAUGGCCAACAAAGGCGACGAUCCCUAGCUGGUGUGAGAGGAUGACCAGACCGACUGGAACUGAGAAGCGGUCCAGACUGUUAAGUGAGGCAUCAGUGGGAGAGAUUGCACAAUGGGCGGAAGCCUGAUGCAGCCAUGCCGCGUGUAUGACGAAGGCCUUCGGGUUGUAAAGUACUUUCAGCGGGGAGGCGUUACCCGCAGAAGAAGCUCCGGCAAACUCCGUGCCAGCAGCCGCGGUAAUAC